AAUAGAUACCUUGGUAGUCCACGCCGUAAACGGUGCAUACUAGGUGUAGGGGGUAUCGACCCCCCUGUGCCGACGGUAACCCAUUAAGUAUGCCGCCUGGGGAGUACGACCGCAAGGUUGAAACUCAAAGGAAUUGACGGGGGCCCGCACAAGCGGUGGAGGAUGUUGUUUAAUUCGACGCAACGCGAAGAACCUUACCUGGGCUUGAACUGCGGAGUAAACUCCUGGAAACAGGGGCUGGGGCAACCCGAUUCCGUAGAGGUGCUGCAUGGCUGUCGUCAGCUCGUGCCGUGAGGUGUUGGGUUAAGUCCCGCAACGAGCGCAACCCUUAUUUCUAGUUGCCAGCAUGUAAUGGUGGGACUCUAGAAAGACUGCCCGCGCAAGCGGAGAGGAAGGAGGGGAUGACGUCAAGUCAUCAUGGCCCUUAGCCCAGGGCUACACACGUGCUACAAUGGCGCAUACAAAAGUGUUGCAAAUCCGGUGACGGAAAGCCAAUCACAAAAAAGUGCGUCUCAGUUCGGAUUGCAGGCUGCAACUCG
rnacentral:rRNA from 1 species